CUAGAACAGCCUUUGAGGUCCCAGGAAAGGUCUAACCCUCCCUUGGAGAGCCUUCUAAGAGUCUGGCAGCCAGAGGAAGGAGUACGCUAGGAGUAUGGGGACGACGUGUGGAAAACUAGGGUCUGGGAAAAGAUUCUCUUGGACUGACUGAGGACCCAGCAGGUUCAGCAAGGCAGAGCCUUUUCCUGUGCCACCCUAACGACCAGAUAAUGUUUGUCGAAUGAAUGAACAAAAGUCUGCAUCUAGCAUGGUACACCAAGUAAACGCAUACAGAGCGCGGUGUUCUGAACUGUUUGCAGUGUCUUUGAUGGAUCUGCCCUUCUUUAAGAUGUUUACUUGUGUUUGUGGAACAAGUUCAUCCACCAAGAUGAGAACCAUGGCUUCUGGGACAGGUCUGCCAAGUGAGGGUGGUCAGGUUGUCUCUAUUUAUUUCAAAUUCUCGAAAAGGUCCCUCGAUUAUUGUUUCAGCAUAUGUGUUUGUACAUUUAUGCUUACUGUUAACAGCUCUACUUUUUUUAACCGAUUUACCAAGCACUGAGUAUCUGACCUUUGGACAGCAUGUACUGACACGUUACCAUGACUGCCCAAGGCGGGCUGCAGCCCAUUCUGACAUGUGUUUGUCCACACCAAUUCAAAAUGAUAAGACACAUAGAUCAGUGGAAUGGAAUCAAGAGGCUAGAAAUAAACCCAUACAUGUAUGGCUAAAUGACAAGGGUGCCAAGACAAUAAAAUGGGGAAAGAAUUGUCUUUCAACAAAUGGUACUGGAACAACUAGAUUUCCACAAGCAAACGAAGGAAGUUGGACCUCUAUUUUACAGCAGAUAUAAAAAUCAACUCGAAGUAGAUCAAAGACCUAAAUUUAGAAGCUAAAACUAUAAAACUCUUAGAAGAAAACAUAGCAAUAAAUCUUCCUGACCUCAGAUUUGGCAAUGGAUUCUUAGAAAUGACAUACAAGUACAAGCAACAAAAAAGAAAAAACAAACUGGACUUCAUAAAACUUAAAAACUUUUGUGCAUCAAAAGACUAUCAAGGGGCCGGCCCCAUGGCCAACUGGUUAAGUUUGAGCGCUCCGCUUCUGCGGUGCAGGAUUUCACCGGUUCGGGUCCCUGGGGCGGACAUGGCACCGCUCAGUGGGCCACGCUGAGGCUGCAUCCCACAUAGCACAACCAGAAGGACCCACAACUAUGUACCAGGGGGCUUUGGGGAGAAAAAGGAAAAAGAAAUUAAAUCUUUAAAAAAAAAAAGAAUUACCAUAUGAUCCAGCAUCCUAGGUAUGUAUACCCCAAAGAAUUUAAAACAGGCACUCAAACAAAUAUGUUUACACAAAUGUCCAUUAUGGCACUACUCACAGUAGCUAAAAUGUGGAAACAACCCACGUGUCCAUCAACGGAUGAAUGGAUAAACAAAAUGUGAACUAUCCAUACAAUGGAAUAUAAUUCAGCCAUAAUACUACCACGUUACAUGCUACCUUCUACAAUGUGGAUGAACCUCCAAAACAUUACGCUAAGAGAAAGAAGCCAGACACAAAAGGUCACAUAUUGUAUGCUUUCCAUUUGUAUGACUUGUCCAGGAUAGGGAAAUCGAUAGAGACAGAAAGCAAAUUAGUGGUUGCCAGGGGUUGAGGGGUGGGAGGAAUGGGGAGUGAUUGCUUAAUGGGUACAUGGUUUCCUUUUGAGGUGAGGAAAAUGUUUCAGAACUAGAUCAGAGGUGAUGGUUACAAUAUUGUGAGUGUACUAAAUGCCAU
ensembl:lncRNA